UACGGGGGGGGCAAGCGUUGUUCGGAAUUACUGGGCGUAAAGGGCGCGUAGGCGGCCUGCUAAGUCGGACGUGAAAUCCCUCGGCUCAACCGGGGAACUGCGUCCGAUACUGGCGAGGCUUGAAUCCGGGAGAGGGAUGUGGAAUUCCAGGUGUAGCGGUGAAAUGCGCAGAUAUCAGGAGGAACACCGGUGGCGAAGGCGGGCCUCUGGGCAACAACUGACGCUGAGGAGCGAAAGCGUGGGGAGCGAACAGG
rnacentral:rRNA from 1 species